AACCCAUGCUGAGGACAUUUCUGCUAGAGAUCCUUGAACCUAUCCCAUGUCUCAAAAAAAGACUCCAAUUCCGUCUGCAAAAAAGAGGAUUUUUCAUUCUUGAGCUU